GACGAGGGGUCCUAGCGUUGUUCGGAAUCAUUGGGCGUAAAGCGGGUGUAGGUGGCUUGGUAAGUCAGAUGUGAAAGCCCCGGGCUUAACCCGGGAAGGGCAUUUGAUACUGCUUUGCUUGAGUGUGAUAGAGGAUGGCGGAAUUCCUGGUGUAGUGGUGAAAUACGUAGAUAUCAGGAGGAACAUCGGUGGGGAAGCCGGCUAUCUGGAUCAACACUGACACUCAGACCCGAAAGCGUGGGGAUCAAACAGG
rnacentral:rRNA from 1 species